rnacentral:tRNA from 1 species
GCCGGAAUAGCUCAGUUGGAAGAGAAGAGGACUGAAAAUCCUCGUG